GUGCUGAAGGACAUGAUGAAGGCCAUCGAUGCUGGGAUUAACAAUGUGCCCCUGCUGGUGCUGCUGAGACUCAAGACAAGAAGCACUGACAGUCAGACUCUGGCUCCUCUGGUUAACUCAAUCAGUAUACAUGAUUCAGCAUAUGACAAUAGACUCCUUAUGUUCUAGAACAUUUGUUGUGUGCUGUAUGGUUCAACUACUGUACAUCUUGAUAAAGCUUUAUUCAAUUAUGUUUGAGACUAUACUUUUAAAUGUCACCCCAAAGUUAUGUCUUAUCCAGUUAUGUCUUAUCUUGUCCCUGUCUUAUCCAAAAUCUAUCUAUUUAUGGCCCUCAUACUUUGUUGACAGGACUGUAUCAGAAAUAAGUCAGUACACACAUACAAUAGAUACUGGUUUGGAUUGGUGUGUUGUUUACUUUACCAUGCUGUUAGUCUCUUCACACAGCCACAGUGUCUCCUUCGCUAUGAGUCAACCAUGCAACGAGACUACCCCGCUGUUUACUUGACUGUUUUUAACAAAGAACCCUGCCUCUCCCUCUCUUUCUUUUGUAUCUCUCUCUCUCUCCUCGCUCAGAUGGCAGAGAUGGACAGGCAGCACAUCUGGAGGAUGAAGCACUUCAACAAGCCUGUGUACUGCAGCGUGUGUCAGAGCAUGCUACUGGGCCAGGAAAUGAGGCCUUUCCUGCAUCUGUGCCGGCACAUGGCUGGGUCAUUGCUGACUGUGACUCCAGUAAGUGUCCCAUCUGCAACAAGAAGAUCAAGACCCUGGCAGGGAAGCAUUGGGUGUGGUGCCAACAGAUGCGCUAUGACGAAUGUGGGAUCUUUGGGUCAUCAUCGUGCAACUGUGGGUCUCUAA
rnacentral:lncRNA from 1 species